GACUCAUUCUUUGGUUGCUCCGUCUUGACUAAUCAAAUUUGGAGCAGUGAAAAAUAUCUUGAACACCAUGAAGGAGGUUGUGGUGGUUGGGAAUAAAGAAGGAUAGGGUUUCUUGAAUAAAGUGUUGCGGCUGAGGUGGUUCAAAAUCAGUGGGUGUAUCAUUGGGGCAUCAUCAUAUUGUUGUUGUGAUUGUGUUGGUCCAAAAUCAUAAAAGGGGGAGUAUCGUUGGAGUGUCGUUGUGGCGUCAUCAAACUGUUAUUGUAGUUGUGUUGGUUCAAAUCAUGAAGUCGGGAGUAUCGUUGGAAUGUUGUUGGAGUGUUGUUGUGGCGUCAUCAGAUUGUUGUUAAAUUGGUGGUUUAAAAUCCUAAGAAUUUUAGUUUUAAGUCCUUUUUUGUUAAAUGGAGUUAUUUGAAAAUGGGUUUUUGGUUGUUUUUAAAACCAUUGGAGUGUAAUUGUGGCACCAUUAAGGGUAUUGUUGUCUAGUGGUGAUUCAACAUCGAAAGGGGAGGGGGGGUGUCGUUCGGUGUUGUUAGGGCAUUGCUGUAUUUAAACCUCGAGAAGGAUUGGUCAAGUGCCUUUUUAUUCUAAUUCAACAACCCAAAACAGGUUGAAUCUGUAAGAAUCCUUAUUGGACUCAACUAGUUGUGAUAAAGAUGAGUCAGGAUGUUUUAAUUAUAAAUCAGUAUGAGUUUUGUAUA